rnacentral:lncRNA from 1 species
GAGGGUAAGGCUCAAAAAAUGAGGAUUGAGCACUCAUAAAGAGAGAAGAAAGAGAGGAAGAAGUAUGGGUGGGGAUGGCCUCUCAUAAGGCGAGAUCAAAAAAGGGGGGGGGGCCUCACACAAAAAGAGAGAGAGAGGGAGAAGGUAGAGAGGGUUAUUUCAUUGGCAGAUAGAGAAGAGAAAGAGAGGGAGAAAGAGAAGAAGGGAACCCUAGAUCUACUCGGCCAAGGCAUUGAAGGGAGGAGGGUAGAAAAGAGGAAAAGAAGGGGGAAGAUAGGGAGAAAGAGGAAAGGGGAGAUAGAGAUAGAGACAAAUAAAUAGAUAGAGAGAAAGCAAGACAGGUGAAGGGGAUGCUGGAUCUAUCAAUUGGGUAG